GAUGAACGCUGGCGGCAGGCUUAACACAUGCAAGUCGAGCGGUAACACUUCGGGUGACGAGCGGCGGACGGGUGAGUAAUACAUAGGAAUCUGCCUAGUAGUGGGGAGUAACGUAGGGAAACGUUACGCUAAUACCGCAUACAUCCUACGGGGAAAGGACAGGGGAGUCUUCGGACCUUGCGCUAUUAGAUGAGCCUAUGUCGGAUUAGCUAGUUGGUGAGGUAAAGGCUCACCAAGGCGACGAUCCGUAGCUGGUCUGAGAGGAUGAUCAGCCACACUGGGACUGAGACACGGCCCAGACUCCUACGGGAGGCAGCAGUGGGGAAUAUUGGACAAUGGGCGCAAGCCUGAUCCAGCCAUGCCGCGUGCGGGAAGAAGGCCUCGGUU
rnacentral:rRNA from 1 species